rnacentral:rRNA from 1 species
AGUGAACGCUGGCGGUAGGCCUAACACAUGCAAGUCGAACGGCAGCACAGUAAGAGCUUGCUCUUACGGGUGGCGAGUGGCGGACGGGUGAGGAAUACAUCGGAAUCUACUUUUUCGUGGGGGUUAACGUAGGGAAACUUUCGUUAAUACCGCAUACGACCUACGGGUGAAAUCAGGGGAUUUUCGGACCUUGCGCGUUUGAAUGAGCCGUUUCCGGGUUAGCUAGUUGGCGGGGUAAAGGCCCACCAAGGCGACGAUCCGUAGCUGGUCUGAGGGGAAGAUCGGCCAAAAUGGAGGUGAGACACGGUCCAGAUUCCUAAGGGAGGAAGCAGUGGGGAAUAUUGGAAAAGGGGCGCAAGCCUGAACCAGCCAUACCGCGUGGGUGAAGAAGGCCUUGGGGUUGUAAAGCCCUUUUGUUGGGAAAGAAAAGCAGCAGGUUAAUACCCCGCUGUUCUGACGGUACCGAAAGAGUAAGAACGGGCUAACAUCGU